GAUGAACGCUGGCGGCGUGCCUAAUACAUGCAAGUCGAGCGAACGGACGAGAAGCUUGCUUCUCUGAUGUUAGCGGCGGACGGGUGAGUAACACGUGGAUAACCUACCUAUAAGACUGGGAUAACUUCGGGGAACCGGAGCUAAUACCGGAUAAUAUUUUGAACCGCAUGGUUCAAAAGUGAAAGACGGUCUUGCUGUCACUUAUAGAUGGAUCCGCGCUGCAUUAGCUAGUUGGUAAGGUAACGGCUUACCAAGGCAACGAUGCAUAGCCGACCUGAGAGGGUGAUCGGCCACACUGGAACUGAGGCACGGUCCAGACUCCUACGGGAGGCAGCAGUAGGGAAUCUUCCGCAAUGGGCGAAAGCCUGACGGAGCAACGCCGCGUGAGUGAUGAAGGUCUUCGGAUCGUAAAACUCUGUUAUUAGGGAAGAACAUAUGUGUAAGUAACUGUGCACAUCUUGACGGUACCUAAUCAGAAAGCCACGGCUAACUACGUG
rnacentral:rRNA from 1 species